GCCUGGGUGGCUCAGUCGGUUGGGCAUCCGACUUCAGCUCAGGUCACGAUCUCACGGUUCGUGAGUUUGAGCCCCACUUCAGGCU
rnacentral:tRNA from 1 species